UGGAGCCUUAACGUAAGGACUUGAAAUUUGUAACCAAAAAAGAAUAAUAUACAAGAAAAAAUACCACAACGGUAAAUUUGCUACUUAAUCAAACAGUGAAAAAUUUAUGUGAGAGUGAAAAAAAAAAAAAAUAUAUAGAAAAAAUGGCAGAAUAUAAAAAGUGGAAAAUUAAAGAAUUUUUUAAAUAAAUAACAACAUAAAAAGAUACAUAGUAUACAAUACUGACAGCUCGGGAAAAAUGUGAAAAAAUCAUGAUAGAAAGAAAAAGAGUAAAAAGAAAAAAUUAAAAAGAAAAAAAAAACUUGGAAAUAAUAAAAUAAAAGUGUUGGAAAUAACAUUAAAUUAAAUAAAUUUAUAAAAAAUUUAUAAAGUAUAAAAAGUUAUAAUGAAAAACUUUUGAAAUUUAUAGAAAAAUGUGAAAAAUGAUACACAGUCUAGACUUAAUAUUUAAUUGGUUAUAACGAUUACUGGCCCAAGGUUUAAUUAAAUUAAGUUUUAUUAAGUUUUCUUUAAUAAAAAGGAAAUUUUUAUUAAAAAACUUAGUUUUAAGCAUAAAAAUUUCAUUGGCAAAUAACAGGAAAUAACCUUGACAGAGUGCGUGUGUACUAAAUAAUGUUUAAAUAAUUAUAAUAACAACAACAAUUAGUUAACUUAAACGGAAUUAUAAGCAAUUGGUGAACACAUAUUUUAUUGUAAUAAAAUUUAUUUUUCUUGAAUUUGAUUUAAUUUCAAAGAUUUUUAAAAAGAUGGACUUUAAAAAAAAAUUCCUUUAUUCUUCUAUAUGUUUUGGGGGAAAACAUUUACUUAUCGAUGACGCAUUCCUUAAGAGUAGGGCAGAAGGUUAAAUUACGAAUGAAUAAAAUGAAAGAAAAAGAACUCGAAAAAAGCAACGUUUACAACGAGAGCAUACUAAAACACAACAGCAGCAAAAACAACAAUAAGCAAACAAUGAUAAAAUACCUUUAAAAAGGAAUUAACACAAAUACACCACAUGAAAAAAUGAAGGAAAAAACAUAAAGGCUUCAAAAAGGAAAGCUUUCAUAAAACCAGACAGACCAUAUGUAAAGCAAAAAAGCAUAAAAAUAACUCCGAAAAAAGGCUUCCUUCCCACCACCCACAAAAGCUACUACUUUUUAAAGCAACCAUGUUUUUUUGAAAUGCUAGUCUCUCAUAUUUUACUUCACUUUCUACACCCUCACUUUGCUGCUCUCUCCUCUCUCUCGUUCUCUAUAAUCUAGCUGUUUUUUUCAAAUAAUUUCUAUCAGUCACUUUAACUGCUGCUCAUCCUCGUCGUCGUCUAGUUUGUGGUAUUAAACAAAAGGAUAAUAAUAUGGUGAUGGUGGUGUCAUCUUUAAACCGUUAUUAUUUUCUACAUUCUGUUUUUUUUUGUCUACUCUCUUUUAUACGCAAAACACAAAUGACAACAAUAAUAUUACACAGCAGCAUUUAAUAGUAGUAGCAAAAGUAAACUACACAAAACACGUACCAAAAAAAAGGCAUUAAAACUUAGUUUGUGUAAGAAAUGUUAAGGAAAAGAGAUGGGAGGUGGAGGCGACACAGAAAAUCAACAAAAGAAAAAUAACAAAAAUGUAUCACAAUUUAACAAGGGAAAUUUAAAAUGCAAACAGUUAGCAAAGAACAGGCCAUAAUAAAACAUGUGCUAAGUGUGUAAGAAAAUAAGAAGAAGAAGAAAUAAAAAACGUAUGAAAAAAUUAUGAAAGAACAAGGUAACACACACACACAUACAUAUACUUGUAAACGUAGUAGUCAUACAAGUUUUACAACUAAAUUCUAAACAAAAAGUAGAAAAAAAUGUAGUAAGGAAAACACGUUGUCAAAGUCUCCAAAUAAAUUGUAACAAUAAAAAUUCUCUUAAUGUAACGGAAUCAAAAAAAGAAGAAUGAAAAAAAUGAACAUAAAAAAACACACAACGACAAUAAAAAAAAUUGUUUUUUGAUUCAAUGUAAAUGAAAUAAGGAAACGUAUCUUUCUCUUUCUCUGGUUAAAAUGGAAGGAAGUUAAAAAAAUACAAGGAAAAAAAAAACAUUUCAAAUAAAUGUUUAUUACAGUUAUGUGCUAAAACAUGAACGUAUAUCCUGUUAAACUAACGAAAAAAAGAAAACGCAAAUUUUAUUAUUAUUUUGUUGUUGUGUUCAUUCAACAACUACUCUGCAAUUGAAAUUAAAAAUAAUAUAAAAAAAAAUGUUAAAAUAAUAUCAUAAGGAAACAUAACAAAAGGAAAAAAAAUAUGAAAAUUAUAAUAAACCUCAAAUUAAAACAAAAUUAAAAUAAUUAUAAAGAAAGUAUAAACGCUGCAGUAUAAAACAAACACUACGCUAAUAACAAAAAAAUAUAACUAAAUAAAAAUACCAUAAUAAAGAAUUAGUUAAGCCAGCAAAAAAUAGUUUUAAUAUUAAAAAAAGUUAUAAUAAAUACCAGACUUAACAGUUUUUAAAUGUAUUUUAAAUUUUUAUUUAACUAACUACUUAACAAAAAAAUAAACAAACAUCAUU